AGUGAACGCUGGCGGUAGGCCUAACACAUGCAGGUCGAACGGCAGCACAGUAAGAGUUUGCUCUUACGGGUGGCGAGUGGCGGACGGGUGAGGAAUACAUCGGAAUCUACUUUUUCGUGGGGGAUAACGUAGGGAAACUUACGCUAAUACCGCAUACGACCUACGGGCGAAAGCAGUGGAUCUUCGCACCUUGCGUGAUUGAAUGAGCCGAUGUCGGAUUAGCUAGUUGGCUGGGUAAAGGCACACCAAGGCGACGAUCCGUAGCUGGUCUGAGAGGAUGAUCAGCCACACUGGAACUGAGACACGGUCCAGACUCCUACGGGAGGCAGCAGUGGGGAAUAUUGGACAAUGGGCGAAAGCCUGAUCCAGCCAUACCGCGUGGGUGAAGAAGGCCUUCGGGUUGUAAAGCCCUUUUGUUAGGAAAGAAAAGCAGCAGGUUAAUACCCCGCUGUUCUGACGGUACCCAAAGAAUAAGCACCGGCUAACUUCGUG
rnacentral:rRNA from 1 species